AUUGAACGCUGGCGGCAGGCCUAACACAUGCAAGUCGAGCGGGGUUUUCGGACCUAGCGGCGGACGGGUGAGUAAUGCGUAGGAAGCUACCCGAUAGAGGGGGAUACCAGUUGGAAACGACUGUUAAUACCGCAUAAUGUCUACGGACCAAAGUGUGGGACCUUCGGGCCACAUGCUAUCGGAUGCGCCUACGUGGGAUUAGCUAGUUGGUGGGGUAAUGGCUCACCAAGGCGACGAUCCCUAGCUGGUUUGAGAGGAUGAUCAGCCACACUGCAACUGGGACACGGUCCAGACUCCUCCGGGGGGCAGCAGUGGGGAAUAGUGGACAAUGGGCGAAAGCCUUAGCCAGCCAUGCCGCGGGUGUGAAGAAGGCCUUCGGGUUGUAAAGCACUUUCAGUAGGGAAGCAGGGUGUUGUGUUAAUAGCACAGCAUUUUGGCGUUACCUACAGAAGAAGCACCGGUUAACUCUGAGCCAGCCGCCGCCGUAAGAC
rnacentral:rRNA from 1 species